UCCGACUGGGAAGUUUCACUUGAACGACCCUUCAAGUUGGAUUUACUAUCUGGAAAACCCAGAGAAAAUGCCCGAGUUGCACAGCUGGGACAUUUCACCUCUGACCUUUGACCUUUUCAAACAAAGGAUGACAACGAACCAGUUUUUGACUACCACAAUAUGGUACUUUCCUAGUCCUGACCUACUCUCCGAGAGAACGACAAGCUCAGGCCAGCUGCACAUCAUCUCCAACCCAGAGCCAGCACAACGCCACGGCACACCACGCCAAGCCACGCCACACCGCGCCACACCACGCC